UACGGAGGGGGCUAGCGUUGUUCGGAAUUACUGGGCGUAAAGCGCACGUAGGCGGCUUUGUAAGUUAGAGGUGAAAGCCCAGGGCUCAACCCUGGAAUUGCCUUUAAGACUGCAUCGCUUGAACAUCGGAGAGGUAAGUGGAAUUCCGAGUGUAGAGGUGAAAUUCGUAGAUAUUCGGAAGAACACCAGUGGCGAAGGCGACUUACUGGACGAUUGUUGACGCUGAGGUGACAGAAGUGCGUAGGGAGCAAACUGGAUUGAGACUACCCGUAG
rnacentral:rRNA from 1 species